rnacentral:rRNA from 1 species
GGAUCCAGACUUUGAUCCUGGCUCAGGAUGAACGCUAGCUACAGGCUUAACACAUGCAAGUCGAGGGGAAACGACAUCGAAAGCUUGCUUUUGAUGGGCGUCGACCGGCGCACGGGUGAGUAACGCGUAUCCAACCUGCCCAUCACUUGGGAAUAACCUUGCGAAAGUAAGACUAAUACCCAAUGAUAUCCCACGAAGGCAUCCGAAUGGGAUUAAAGAUUUAUCGGUGAUGGAUGGGGAUGCGUCUGAUUAGCUUGUUGGCGGGGUAACGGCCCACCAAGGCAACGAUCAGUAGGGGUUCUGAGAGGAAGGUCCCCCACAUUGGAACUGAGACACGGUCCAAACUCCUACGGGAGGCAGCAGUGAGGAAUAUUGGUCAAUGGGCGAGAGCCUGAACCAGCCAAGUAGCGUGCAGGAUGACGGCCCUAUGGGUUGUAAACUGCUUUUAUAAGGGAAUAAAGUGGGUCACGUGUGACUUUUUGCAUGUACCUUAUGAAUAAGGACCGGCUAAUUCCGUGCCAGCAGCCGCGGUAAUACGGAAGGUCCGGGCGUUAUCCGGAUUUAUUGGGUUUAAAGGGAGCGUAGGCCGGAGAUUAAGCGUGUUGUGAAAUGUAGAGGCUCAACCUCUGCACUGCAGCGCGAACUGGUCUUCUUGAGUACGCACAACGUGGGCGGAAUUCGUGGUGUAGCGGUGAAAUGCUUAGAUAUCACGAAGAACUCCGAUUGCGAAGGCAGCUCACGGGAGCGCAACUGACGCUGAAGCUCGAAAGUGCGGGUAUCGAACAGGAUUAGAUACCCUGGUAGUCCGCACGGUAAACGAUGGAUGCCCGCUGUUGGCCUGAAUAGGUCAGCGGCCAAGCGAAAGCAUUAAGCAUCCCACCUGGGGAGUACGCCGGCAACGGUGCAACUCAAAUGAAUUGACGG